CUUCCCAGUGUGCCCCCACAACCUGACCACAGCCUCAAACACCCACCCUCCAUCCCUUCCCAGUGUCCCCCACAACCUGACCACAGCCUCAAACACCCACCCUCCAUCCCUUCCCAGUGUCCCCCACAACCUGACCAAAGCCUCAAUAUCACAGGCUGCAAAAUUUCAAGUUAAAUGUGCUUGUUAGCAUUCUGAUUUUUUAGAUGUUCACCAAAGCUCUGGAUGAUAUCAAUAGCAACAGGGGCUUAUGUUAUUGAAACUAAACACGCAGGAAAUUAUGUCAUCAGAGGACUCCUGGAGUAGGGAGUCGUGGUUUUAGGGGGGAGCACUGUUUUUUGGCCAGUUUCACUGCCUGACCUCGCCCUCGUUCAUCACUAGAGCCGUGCUGAUGGUUUCCCUUCGCACUGAAAGAAUUGUCUUGGCAGCCUUAAUGAUGUGGGCUGGACAAGCAUGAGCCAGCAAGGGAACACAGCUGGGCUAGCAAUGACAACAGCUGGGCUAGCUGGCCUAGCAAUGAAAACAGCUGAGCUAGCAAUGAAAACAGACCACCCCUCUAUUUGAUAAAAUAACUUCCUUUUUUUCAGGCCCAGAGGAAGUCAAGAGCUUUUCUUAUAAAACAAGUGUUUAUUCAUAAUUUCAAGUACCACAAAAAGUAGCCGUUAAAUGUGAUACAAUCAUGGGGACUAGCUUCCAAAGGGUCAGACUCGAAGCUAAACUACUCCUUCCACGUCAGAACCAUCAAAUUAAAUGGUAUUUAACACCCAUCUAUAUUUUUGAUAGUCCCCACAAUGUUACAAGCCCAAUGUCUGCCUUUCAAUGGGCUAGUUUCAGAAAGGCUCCAAAGGCAAUGUAGUCUAAUAUAAGCACCACUUGGGAGUGUGGACAGAGUUAAACUAAAGUCCUUCUGAACUCUUGGUCUCUCGCCCACAUGCCUUGGAUGCUGGUGGCGGUGUAGUGAUAAGGCAGAAGACAUGGUGGUGCCUUGCAUGGGCGGCCAACCAAACAUUCACAGCCGCGAUAAAAGGAAAGAGUGGGGGGCGUUGUCAUAAUCCCGGCCUACGGCUUGUGACCUAGUCCUAACAGAGAGGAAUCUGUCUGGGAAACAAACCUCUCUUUAUAGGAAGUCUUUCUGAAGGGAGUCAGACCGUUAGAGCAUUUUACUGCUGAUGGACACUAUUAGCUGCCAUUGCUAUGGGUUUCUGUAUGCUAACAUCGAUUCAUCCUAAAUGAUGUUUUCUUGCGAUUUUGAAGAUAACAUUAAAGACAACCAAUGUAAUUGAAAUGACUGCAUAUGCUACUCUUAAAUGCACAAGAUGUAAGGUUAAGUUACUUAUAGUAACAGGCUAUUUAGAUUCAUUCUAGGCAUUGCAUAAUUUAUUCAGAAAACAGAAAGGAGCGUAUUUUAUGAAAGCAAGGUGAGUAAGUGUAUUAAAGCAAGGUGAGUCAGUGUAUUAAAGCAAGGUGAGUCAGUGUAUUAAAGCAAGGUGAGUCAGUGUAUUAAAGCAAGGUGAGUCAGUGUAUUAAAGCAAGGUGAGUCAGUGUAUUAAAGCAAGGUGAGUCAGUGUAUUAAAGCAAGGUGAUCAGUGUAUUAAAGCAAGGUGAGUCAGUGUAUUAAAGCAAGGUGAGU